AUUGAACGCUAGCGGGAUGCCUUACACAUGCAAGUCGAACGGAGUGGCGAACGGGUGAGUAAUGUAUCGGAACGUGCCCAGUAGCGGGGGAUAACUACGCGCAAGCGUAGCUAAUACCGCAUACUAUUGGAGCGGCCGAUAUCGGAUUAGCUAGUUGGUGGGGUGGCGGCUCACCUGGGCGACGAUCCGGAGCUGGUUUGAGAGGACGACCAGCCAAACUGGGACUGAGGCACGGACCGGACGCCUACGGGAGGAAGGGGUGGGGAAUUUUGGACAAUGGGGGAAACGCUGAUCCAGCCAUGCCGCGUGUGCGAGGAAGGCCUUCGGGUUGUAAAGCACUUUUGGCAGGAAAGCGGUACCUGCAGAAUAAGCACCGGCUAACUACGUGCCAGCCGCCGCGGUAAUAC
rnacentral:rRNA from 1 species